GCAUGGACAUUGGAAUUACCAGCGAGUUGGUUAUUUGGUUCUUUACAACUUCUACAGAAAUGCUGUUUUCGUUUUCAUGCUUUUCUGGUACAUUUUAUAUGCAGCCUUUUCUACAACAUCUGCGUUGACAGAUUGGAGCAGUGUGUUCUAUUCUCUCAUCUAUACUUCCAUACCUACUUUAGUUGUUGGUAUUCUGGACAAGGACUUAAGUCAUAAGACACUACUGAAGUAUCCAAAACUCUAUGCUGCUGGCUAUAGGCAGGAGAGUUACAACAUGAAACUCUUCUGGGUCACAAUGCUUGAUACAGUGUGGCAGAGUCUUGUACUCUUUUAUGUACCAUUGUUCAUCUAUGAUCAGAGUGAUAUUGACAUAUGGAGUAUGGGUAGCUUAUGGACAAUCGCUGUUGUGAUCCUUGUAAACAUGCACUUGGCAAUGGACGUACAGCGGUGGUUAAUAUUUACUCAUAUGGCAAUAUGGGGGUCAAUUGUUAUCACAUAUGGCUGCUUGGUGGUGCUGGACUUAAUACCUGUCUUCCCCAAUUAUAAUACAAUCUUUCAAUUGGCAAAAUCACCUACUUACUGGCUCUCUAUUUUGCUUAUUAUAGUUUUGGCUUUGCUUCCUCGCUUUAUUGUCAAAGUUAUAAACCAAAGUUUCCGCCCUUCAGACAUCCAGAUAGCUAGAGAAGCAGAGAUCCUGAAGAAAAAUCACAGCUAUAUUAUGUCUAGGCCAGAUCAUGAUACAAGCUAGUGCCUCCUGUUUAUGUUGUCAAUCACCCUAUUUUGGUGUAGCUCCUUGAGUUUCCCUAUACUUGACUUCCUAUGGCAUGCAGGGUUAGAAGUAGGUAGAUGAGCUAGUCCAACUCAAUGUCAGCAGGUGAAAUCGGCGACAAUGUAAAAGGGAAACAGAGUCACCAUGUAUCGGAAGAAAGGAAAGCAAGGGUUAACUCAAGAGCUAAAUUUGUCGAGAGUUUGAAGCACAGCUGAAGAAACAAUCUGGUUGAGAGCAACGGAACACAUGAAGGUUUUUGAAUGGAUUUUGUUAUUUGUUUGUUGAUAAUAACACUGUUGGGCUUGUUUUACAAGAAGUGAAAAUGAUAGGGCUCUGCUUGUUAUUAGUUAUUCAGCAUAAUUCCCACAUAAAGAAAGAGAAUUGAGGAGAGAAAUACAAGUGUAUCAUAGUUUUACCUGUAUAAAGAUUUGAGGUUUCUUAUCCUUGUUCUUGUAACAAAUUAAAGGAAAAAGGAAACUGCUCUUGAUUCAUAAACUUAUCUGUGAUUUUGUAAAAUCUGUU
rnacentral:misc_RNA from 1 species